rnacentral:rRNA from 1 species
GACGAACGCUGGCGGCGUGCUUAACACAUGCAAGUCGAACGGAAAGACCCUGCUUUUGUUGGUUUCUCGAUUGCCGCACGCGUGUGUAACACGUGAGUAUCCUGCCCUUGUCUUUCGGAUAACUUCUCGAAACUGCGGCUCAUACCCGAUAUGAUCUCCUGCUGCAUGUUGUUGGUUGGAAAGUUUCGGCGGUUGUGGAUGUUCUCGCGGCUUAUCCGCUUGUUUGUGUAGUAGUUGCUUACCAAGGGUGUGACGGGUAGCCGGCCUGGGAGGGUGACCGGGGACAAGGGGACUGAGAGAGGGAGCAGAAGCCUAUGGGAGGCAGUAGUGGGGAACAUUGCAGAAUGGGCGGAAGCCUGAGGCAGCAACGCUGCGAGCGGGAUGACGGGUUACGGGUGGUAAACCGAUGUGGAAGGAGACGAGGCGUGAGUGACGGUAAUGGGUAAAGAAGCAACGGCUAACUACGUG